GCCUACGGGAGGCAGCAGUAGGGAAUCUUCCGCAAUGGGCGAAAGCCUGACGGAGCAACGCCGCGUGAGUGAUGAAGGUCUUCGGAUCGUAAAACUCUGUUAUUAGGGAAGAACAUAUGUGUAAGUAACUGUGCACAUCUUGACGGUACCUAAUCAGAAAGCCACGGCUAACUACGUGCCAGCAGCCGCGGUAAUACGUAGGUGGCAAGCGUUAUCCGGAAUUAUUGGGCGUAAAGCGCGCGUAGGCGGUUUUUUAAGUCUGAUGUGAAAGCCCACGGCUCAACCGUGGAGGGUCAUUGGAAACU
rnacentral:rRNA from 1 species